UACGGGGGGGGCAAGCGUUGUUCGGAAUUACUGGGCGUAAAGGGCUCGUAGGCGGCCAACUAAGUCGGAUGUGAAAUCCCCAGGCUUAACCUGGGAACUGCAUCCGAUACUGGAUGGCUUGAAUCCGGGAGAGGGAUGCAGAAUUCCAGGUGUAGCGGUGAAAUGCGUAGAUAUCUGGAGGAAUACCGGUGGCGAAGGCGGCAUCCUGGACCGGCAUUGACGCUGAGUGAGCGAAAGCCAGGGGAGCAAGCGGG
rnacentral:rRNA from 1 species